GCAACAAUGAAAAACGCAGCAAAAUGCGAUACGUAGUGUGAAUUGCAGAAUUCUGCAAAUCAUCGAGUCUUUGAACACAAGUUGCGCCCGAGGCUUGUCCAAGGGCAUUUUCGCUAGAGCGUCAG
rnacentral:rRNA from 1 species